rnacentral:rRNA from 1 species
UACGUAGGCAGCGAGCGUUGUUCGGAAUUACUGGGCGUAAAGAGUGUGUAGGCGGUGCUCUAAGUUCGGUGUGAAAUCUCCUGGCUCAACUGGGAGGGUGCGCCGGAAACUGGAGUGCUUGAGCGUGGGAGAGGAAAGCGGAUUCCUGGUGUAGCGGUGAAAUGCGUAGAUAUCAGGAGGAACACCGGUGGCGAAGGCGGGUCUCUGGGCCGAUAUUGACGCUGAGGAGCGAAAGCGUGGGGAGCGAACAGG